AUUGAACGCUGGCGGAAUGCUUUACACAUGCAAGUCGAACGGCAGCACGGACUUCGGUCUGGUGGCGAGUGGCGAACGGGUGAGCAAUGUAUCGGAACGUGCCAGUCGUGGGGGAUAACGUAGUGAAAAUUACGCUAAUACCGCAUACGAUCUAUGGAUGAAAGCGGGGGAUCGCAAGACCUCGCGCGAUUGGAGCGGCCGAUAUCAGAUUAGGUAGUUGGUGGGGUAAAGGCCCACCAAGCCAACGAUCUGUAGCUGGUCUGAGUGGACGACCAGCCACACUGGAACUGAGACGCGGUCCAGACUCCUACGGGGGGCGGCAGUGGGGAAUUUUGGACAAUGAGCGAAAGCCUGAUCCAGCCAUUCCGCGUGCAGGAUGAAGGCCCUCGGGUUGUAAACUGCUUUUGUACAGAACGAAAAGGUUUCGACUAAUACUAGGAGCUCAUGACGGUACUGUAAGAAUAAGCACCGGCUAACUACGUGCCAGCCGCCGCCGUAA
rnacentral:rRNA from 1 species